rnacentral:rRNA from 1 species
GUAACUGCGAGUGAAGCGGGAAAAGCUCAAAUUUUGAAUCUGGCGGUCCGCGAGGUCGUCCGAGUUGUAAUCUAGAGAAGCGUCUUCCGCGCUGGACCGUGUACAAGUCUCCUGGAAGGGAGCGUCAUAGAGGGUGAGAAUCCCGUCUUUGACACGGACUGCCAGGGCUAUGUGAUGCGCUCUCGACGAGUCGAGUUGUUUGGGAAUGCAGCUCAAAACGGGUGGUAAAUUCCAUCUAAAGCUAAAUACAGGCGAGAGACCGAUAGCGAACAAGUACCGUGAGGGAAAGAUGAAAAGAACUUUGGAAAGAGAGUUAAACAGUACGUGAAAUUGCUGAAAGGGAAACGCUUGACGUCAGUCGCGUUGGCCGGGGAUCAACCUUGCUUCUCGCUGGGUGCACUUCCUGGCUGACGGGUCAGCAUCAGUUUCGAUCGGGAUAGAAUGGCCAAGGGAACGUGGCACUCUUCGGAGUGUGUUAUAGCCCAUGGUCGUAUGUGUCGAUGGGGACCGAGGAACUCGGCACGACUCCGGUCUGUGUCUAGGAUGCUGGCAUAAUGGCGUUAAGCGACCCGUCUUGAAACACGGACCAAGGAGUCUAACAUGCCUGCGAGUGUUUGGGUGGCAAACCCGAGCGCGAAACGAAGUGAAAGUCGAGACCUCUGUCAUGGAGGGCACCGACGCCCGGACCUGAGUCUUUGACGACGGAUCUGCGGUAGAGCAUGCAUGUUGGGACCCGAAAGAUGGUGAACUAUGCCUGAAUAGGGUGAAGCCAGAGGAAACUCUGGUGGAGGCUCGUAGCGAUUCUGACGUGCAAAUCGAUCGUCGAAUUUGGGUAUAGGGGGCGAGAGACUAAUCGAAUCCAUCUAGUAGCUGGUUCCUGCCGAAGUUCCCCCUUCAGGGAGUAGG